rnacentral:rRNA from 1 species
UGGGGAAUUUUGCACAAUGGGGGAAACCCUGAUGCAGCGACGCCGCGUGAUUUAGAAGGCCUUCGGGUUGUAAAAAUCUUUUCUAUGGGAAGAAAAUGACAGUACCAUAGGAAUAAGGACCGGCUAAUUACGUGCCAGAAGCCGCGGUAAUACGUAAGGUCCGAGCGUUGUCCGGAAUCAUUGGGCGUAAAGGGUACGUAGGCGGGUAAGCAAGUUAGAAGUGAAAUCCUAUAGCUCAAAUAUAGUAAGCUUUUAAAACUGCUCAUCUUGAGGUAUGGAAGGGAAAGUGGAAUUCCUAGUGUAGCGGUGAAAUGCGCAGAUAUUAGGAGGAAUACCGGUGGCGAAGGCGACUUUCUGGCCAUAACCUGACGCUGAGGUACGAAAGCGUGGGUAGCAACAAGG